UGCAAGCAAGGGACGCGCCCUGGCGAGAAGUCGUGGGGAGAGAGGGGCAUGCGCGUAAAGGCCUGUGGGCGGUGGCGCUGCAGGAGAAUGGAAAUGAACCAGCACAUAGUGUAUCGGUUCCUUCUCAGGCUGGUAACAUUACAGAAUCCCUGUUGAAAUGCAAGCUGGACUGGUGGAAAUCAGAUUUCCCAUAUCUUCUCAAAGGCUGUUUGUCAAGCAACCACUACACCUAAUGUGGGGCUUGAACUCAUGACCCUGAGAUCAAGAGUCGCCUGUUCCUCCCACUGAGCCAGCCUGGCAUCCCUGGCAUAUUGUGUAUUUUAAACUGAAGGAGUUUGAGAACACAGCAGAAGCAGGAAGUUCCUCUGACCUUUGGCCUACCCUUCUUCUCUAAAGUAAGGAAACUGAGCCCCAGAGAAGCUCAUAACCUACCCAAGCUCCCAUGGCUGACAGAGAGAGACAGCUGGAGCCGGCGGAGGGUCA